UCUGCCACUUCCCGGAUCUCCCCGAUUGACCAAGGCAGAGGCGGGGGACCCACCGUCCCGGGCAUGUACCGCCCUUGGGGUUAAGCCAGCACGUGAUCUUUCCGUGUGGCCGGAUGCCCUCAUCCGAACCCGACAGCUAACUCCGCAGGUGUGAGAGGCGAUCA
rnacentral:sRNA from 2 species